rnacentral:rRNA from 1 species
UCGAGUCGGCCUGCGCGGAAGAUGUAACGGGGCUAAACCAUGCACCGAAGCUGCGGCAGCGACACUGUGUGUUGUUGGGUAGGGGAGCGUUCUGUAAGCCUGUGAAGGUGUGUCGUGAGGCAUGCUGGAGGUAUCAGAAGUGCGAAUGCUGACAUAAGUAACGAUAAAGCGGGUGAAAAGCCCGCUCGCCGGAAGACCAAGGGUUCCUGUCCAACGUUAAUCGGGGCAGGGUGAGUCGACCCCUAAGGCGAGGCCGAAAGGCGUAGUCGAUGGGAAACGGGUUAAUAUUCCCGUACUUGGUGUUACUGCGAAGGGGGGACGGAGAAGGCUAUGUUGGCCGGGCGACGGUUGUCCCGGUUUAAGCGUGUAGGUGUGUGUUCCAGGUAAAUCCGGUUCACUUUAACACUGAGGCGUGACGACGAGGCACUACGGUGCUGAAGCAACAAAUGCCCUGCUUCCAGGAAAAGCCUCUAAGCAUCAGGUAACAUCAAAUCGUACCCCAAACCGACACAGGUGGUCAGGUAGAGAAUACCAAGGCGCUUGAGAGAACUCGGGUGAAGGAACUAGGCAAAAUGGUGCCGUAACUUCGGGAGAAGGCACGCUGACACGUAGGUGAAGUGAUUUACUCAUGGAGCUGAAGUCAGUCGAAGAUACCAGCUGGCUGCAACUGUUUAUUAAAAACACAGCACUGUGCAAACACGAAAGUGGACGUAUACGGUGUGACGCCUGCCCGGUGCCGGAAGGUUAAUUGAUGGGGUCAGCGCAAGCGAAGCUCCUGAUCGAAGCCCCGGUAAACGGCGGCCGUAACUAUAACGGUCCUAAGGUAGCGAAAUUCCUUGUCGGGUAAGUUCCGACCUGCACGAAUGGCGUAAUGAUGGCCAGGCUGUCUCCACCCGAGACUCAGUGAAAUUGAACUCGCUGUGAAGAUGCAGUGUACCCGCGGCAAGACGGAAAGACCCCGUGAACCUUUACUAUAGCUUGACACUGAACAUUGAGCCUUGAUGUGUAGGAUAGGUGGGAGGCUUUGAAGUGUGGACGCCAGUCUGCAUGGAGCCGACCUUGAAAUACCACCCUUUAAUGUUUGAUGUUCUAACGUGGACCCGUGAUCCGGGUUGCGGACAGUGUCUGGUGGGUAGUUUGACUGGGGCGGUCUCCUCCUAAAGAGUAACGGAGGAGCACGAAGGUUGGCUAAUCCUGGUCGGACAUCAGGAGGUUAGUGCAAUGGCAUAAGCCAGCUUGACUGCGAGCGUGACGGCGCGAGCAGGUGCGAAAGCAGGUCAUAGUGAUCCGGUGGUUCUGAAUGGAAGGGCCAUCGCUCAACGGAUAAAAGGUACUCCGGGGAUAACAGGCUGAUACCGCCCAAGAGUUCAUAUCGACGGCGGUGUUUGGCACCUCGAUGUCGGCUCAUCACAUCCUGGGGCUGAAGUAGGUCCCAAGGGUAUGGCUGUUCGCCAUUUAAAGUGGUACGCGAGCUGGGUUUAGAACGUCGUGAGACAGUUCGGUCCCUAUCUGCCGUGGGCGCUGGAGAACUGAGGGGGGCUGCUCCUAGUACGAGAGGACCGGAGUGGACGCAUCACUGGUGUUCGGGUUGUCAUGCCAAUGGCACUGCCCGGUAGCUAAAUGCGGAAGAGAUAAGUGCUGAAAGCAUCUAAGCACGAAACUUGCCCCGAGAUGAGUUCUCCCUGAGACUUAAAGUCUCCUGAAGGAACGUUGAA